rnacentral:rRNA from 1 species
UUUCUUCGGAGAGUUUGAUCCUGGCUCAGGAUGAACGCUGGCGGCGUGCCUAAUACAUGCAAGUCGAGCGAACUGAUUAGAAGCUUGCUUCUAUGACGUUAGCGGCGGACGGGUGAGUAACACGUGGGCAACCUGCCUGUAAGACUGGGAUAACUCCGGGAAACCGGAGCUAAUACCGGAUAACAUUUUCUCUUGCAUAAGAGAAAAUUGAAAGAUGGUUUCGGCUAUCACUUACAGAUGGGCCCGCGGUGCAUUAGCUAGUUGGUGAGGUAACGGCUCACCAAGG